GACGAACGCUGGCGGCGUGCUUAACACAUGCAAGUCGAGCGGUAAGGCCCUUUCGGGGGUACGACGAGCGGCGAACGGGUGAGUAACACGUGGGUGACCCGCCCUCAGCUCUGGGAUAAGCCUGGGAAACCGGGUCUAAUACCGGAUAUGACUCCAUGACGCAUGUUGUGGGGUGGAAAGCCUUGUGCGGCUGAGGAUGGGCCCGCGGCCUAUCAGCUUGUUGGUGGGGUGAUGGCCACCAAGGCGACGACGGGUAGCCGGCCUGAGAGGGCGACCGGCCACACUGGGGACUGAGACACGGCCCAGACUCCUACGGGAGGCAGCAGUGGGGAAUCUUGCGCAAUGGGCGAAAGCCUGACGCAGCGACGCCGCGUGAGGGAUGACGG
rnacentral:rRNA from 1 species